UUUCCGUAGGUGAACCUGCGGAAGGAUCAUUACUGAGUGAGGGCCUCCGGUCCGACCUCCAACCCUUUGUGAAUCUCGACCCUGUUGCCUCGGGGGCGACCCGGCCUUCGGGCGUCGGGGCCCCCGGUGGACCAUUCAACUCUGCAUCUUUGCGUCUGAGUCUUUAUAUGAAUUAAAUCAAAACUUUCAACAACGGAUCUCUUGGUUCUGGCAUCGAUGAAGAACGCAGC
rnacentral:misc_RNA from 1 species